rnacentral:lncRNA from 1 species
CGGCCCCCCGGGACCAAAGGGAGAAAAGGUUAUUCAGCUAUAUUUUUUAUAUUUUGAAUAAUAAUCUCAGUCUAAAUGCCAUAUUUGAGUUACAUAUAAUGCUUAAAAUUCUAUCCAAUAUAUGCAAAUAUGUCUUUUUUACAAAACUAGUUUUUUUUAACAGAGUUAAAAAGGGAAAUAGUGUUAGAAUCUGAGUUUGACUGAUUAUGUGUAUUUUUCAGGGUUACCCAGGAGAAGACAGUAAAAUGGCAGGACCGCCCGGGCCCUUAGGUGAACCAGUAGGUCUUAAUUUCCUUUAACUUCCUGUUUUUGUCCAACACCUGGACUGAAAUCAGUAAAUAAAGAGGCAGUGACAUUUACAUCACUUUAUUGAAGAAAUAAGACAACAUAUCAGUUUUUUGUGUGCAUAUAGGGCACUCCAGGAGAGAAGGGUGAACGUGGGGAACCGGGAGAUUACGGAUAUCAGGUUAGUGUCUCUGUAAGGAGGAAUUUCAUGCUUUGUAAAAAUCAUUCCUCUUCACUAACUACCUUAACUAUUAUUUCGAACACCUCAGGAACUGCAUAGCAACACCUUAGCAACCACACAGCAAAAUAAUCAAAAACUGCAUAGCAAAAAACUGCAUCUCAACACUGUAGCAACCACACAGCAACAAUCACUGAAAACACCUUAGCCACAGCAUAACAGUGUCUUUUUUUGGAGCAACAGAGACACUGGUUGUGCUCUUUUGCUGAUUGUUCUUCAGAUGAUUUCCUUACAGCUGAUCUAGAUUGAGCUGGUCUGGAUCCUGCAGCGCUGCAGGCCUAUUUUCAUUACAACAGUCCACACUCACAUUUCUAUUUAUUUUUUUAUUUUUUUAUGUUAACACUGCUAGUAUGUGUGUGUGUGUGUGUGUGUGUUCUACAUUCUAUAUUUUUAUUUUUUUUAUUUUGUUUAACUACUGCAGUAAUGUGUGUGUGUGUGUGUGUGUGUGUUUUAGGGUCAUGCAGGGGUCACAGGUGCCCGUGGAGCGAUCGGUCAGCAGGGAUCUCCUGGAUCUCCUGGGCUUCCUGGUGAAGCAGGACCCAUAGGCGAGAAGGGAGUUCAGGUUUGUGACUAGCACACCACUUACACUAUUUAUGCUGUGUGUAGUUCAUAUACUGUGUGCAGUUUGUGACUUUUUUUUCUGUCUGCAUGAAAUACCUGGGGCCAGACUUACAAAAAUCUUCUUAAGAUAGUUAAUAAAAUUUGUUAAGAUAAAUUCCACAAAGUUCAUAAGAUUGUUUUGAAGUGCAUCUUCCGAGUAAACGCCUCCGGUAUGUGUGACUACUGAAUGUGGGGCUAUCCUAACUUUAAUCUUUAAGAAGAUUCUUUUCAAGAAUUAGAAUUCUUCUUAAGUUUUGUCUUAAGAAAAAUCAAAAAAAAAAAAACUCAGAACAUUCUUAAGAAGAAUUUUGAUGUGCUAAAAUAACUAAAACUGAAACUGAAUGAAAAACGAAUAAAACGUAU